rnacentral:rRNA from 1 species
CCUACGGGUGGCAGCAGUGGGGAAUAUUGCACAAUGGGGGAAACCCUGAUGCCGCGACGCCGCGUGAGUGAAGAAGUAAUUCGUUAUGUAAAGCUCUAUCAGCAGGGAAGAAAAUGACGGUACCUGUGUAAGAAGCACCGGCUAACUACGUGCCAGCAGCCGCGGUAAAACGUAGGGGGCAAGCGUUAACCGGAUUUACUGGGUGUAAAGGGAGAGUAGACGGCAGUGCAAGUCUGGAGUGAAAGGCGCGGGCUCAACCCCCGGACUGCUCUGGAAACUGUACGGCUGGAGUGCAGGAGAGGUAAGUGGAAUUCCUAGUGUAGCGGUGAAAUGCGUAGAUAUUAGGAGGAACACCAGUGGCGAAGGCGGCUUACUGGACUGUAACUGACGUUGAGGCUCGAAAGCGUGGGGAGCAAACAGGAUUAGAUACCCGAGUAGUC